ACAUGCAUACCCUCAAAUGGAAAGUUGUGUUUAUGUGGUUGUGGUUAUGGUCGGACAGUAACCAGCUUUGCAUUCCUGGGCAUACACAAGAGAUGUGUCUGAAUUUUCUGAGUCUGCCAGUUCACCCGACAUUAUUUCAACAAAAGGUCUUUGAUUAGGUCACAGAAUGCAAGAUAAGAAAGGACUCUUUUUGACCAGGCACUGUUUCUCUUGCUGAUUCACAGAUCUAGGACCUACAAGGAUGGUCACAGAUUCAGAUGACUUUUCUGUGGGAGGAAGAACCCGAACAAUCUUUCUGAGGCUAAGUGGAGAUGAUCUGGCCAUUACUGGAUUAAAUCUUUCUUCAAGCCCAAUCAGAUCUAUCUAUAUGACCUCCAAGCCUACUGAUGUCCAACCUGAACCUCCCCUGGCGCAGCCUGAGACUAUGUCCUCUUAUCCUGUUGCUGGUUGCCUGGG
rnacentral:lncRNA from 1 species